rnacentral:rRNA from 1 species
UUGACCUCGGAUCAGGUAGGGAUACCCGCUGAACUUAAGCAUAUCAAUAAGCGGAGGAAAAGAAACCAACCGGGAUUGCCCUAGUAACGGCGAGUGAAGCGGCAAGAGCUCAAAUUUGAAAGCUGGCCCCCUCGGGGUCCGCGUUGUAAUUUGCAGAGGAUGCUUCGGGAGCGGUCCCCAUCUAAGUGCCCUGGAACGGGCCGUCAUA